rnacentral:tRNA from 1 species
GGCUGUAGCUCAGUGGUAAAGUGCUUGCCUCAUAUGUGUGAGGCACUGAGUUCAGUCCUCAGCAACACA